AUUACCGAAAUCAAAAUUGCACUAAAUUGUCAACAUUUUAUUAGAGUGGUAUAUACGUGGUAAUACGUUUAAGCUAUUUGUAGACAUUUUUUCUAGUUUUGUUAAUUUUUAUACGGUAGGUUUUAUAUGGAUUAUUUGACCAAACAAAAACGCUCGACAAUUUUACUUGCAAUUUAUUAAAAGUUGUAUUUGGUGUUCACAAAUGAAAGUUAUGCGUAAUGUAUACGUUUUUUUAU